AUGCAUCAUAAUAUUCUAUAUAAAUUCAAAGUCUCAAGGAUCGCUAGUUCACCACUUAAUAUCUCAAGGUCUCUACUAGUCAACAAAAAGAAGCAUCGCGAAUUCGACAACACCACAUCCAUUAAGGUCUGCGCCAGUUCGACAAAAAGAAGAAUCACCAGUUCGGCACUUAAGCUCUCAAACAAACGGAGCACAGAUCGACAGCUUCUCAGUUUACAAAACCACGAAUCGACAGCUUCUCAGUUUACUGUAACUGAAAUUCCUGCACAUGUUAGUAAGCAAAUACAUAUCGGGCUCACAAUUAACAAGCUACUUAAAAAUGGGAGUUUCAUCUGUUUCUCAGAUGUGAAAAAUGACAGGAUAGAAUCCGAUAGAAAGUAUACAAACAUUAGAACUGCAGGCUAUUUGAGUAGACAGGGCUGGAGGUUCUAA
rnacentral:rRNA from 1 species